UCCCUGGUGGACUAGUGACUAGCAUGUGGCACUCUUACAGCCACGGCCCGGGUUCGAUUCAUGGUCAGUAAA